rnacentral:rRNA from 1 species
GACGAACGCUGGCGGCGUGCUUAACACAUGCCAGUCGAACGGAAAGGCCCUGCUUGCAGGGUACUCGAGUGGCGAACGGGCGAGUAACACGUGGGUGAUCUGCCCUCCACUUCGGGAUAAGCCUGGGAAACUGGGUCUAAUACCUGAUAGGAGCCACUUUUAGUGUGAUGGUUGGAAAGUUUUUUCGGUGUAGGAUGAGCUCGCGGCCUAUCAGCUUGUUGGUGGGGUAAUGGCCUACCAAGGCGGCGACGGGUAGCCGGCCUGAGGGGGUGGACGGCCACAUUGGGACUGAGAGACGGCCCAGACUGCUACGGGAGGCAGAAGUGGGGAAUAUUGCACAAUGGGCGCAAGCCUGAUGCAGCGACGCCUCGGGGGGGAAGACGGCCUUCGGGUUGAAAACUCCUUUCGCGAGGGACGAAGCUUUUUGUGACGGUACCUAGAGAAGAAGCACCGGCUAACUACGUG